rnacentral:rRNA from 1 species
GACGAACGCUGGCGGCGUGCUUAACACAUGCAAGUCGAACGGAAAGGCCCUGCUUUUGUGGGGUGCUCGAGUGGCGAACGGGUGAGUAACACGUGAGUAACCUGCCCUUGACUUUGGGAUAACUUCAGGAAACUGGGGCUAAUACCGGAUAGGAGCUCCUGCUGCAUGGUGGGGGUUGGAAAGUUUCGGCGGUUGGGGAUGGACUCGCGGCUUAUCAGCUUGUUGGUGGGGUAGUGGCUUACCAAGGCUUUGACGGGUAGCCGGCCUGAGAGGGUGACCGGCCACAUUGGGGCUGAGUUACGGCCCAGACUCCUACGGGAGGCAGCAGUGGGGUAUAUUGCCCAAUGGGCGGAAGCCUGAUGCAGCAAAGCCGCGUGCGGGAUGACGGCCUUCGGGUUGUAAACCGCUUUCGCCUGUGACGAAGCGUGAGUGACGGUAAUGGGUAAAGAAGCACCGGCUAACUACGUG